UGGUGAACAUUUUUCUUUCUUUUCCCCCCUUUCUCUCUGUGGUUCCACAAACUAUGAGGCUCUUACUUUCUCAUUUCACUAUGAGAAUAGGUAGGAAUGAGGGUCCCAAUCCUCCUCGAGUAUUCUUUUUCUAACCCAUUUUCUAUUUUGCAGGUACAUGACGAUAACAACACACAUCCAAGCAAGAGAAUUCAAAACGGUUUCCUUGGGGUACAAUGGAUGUGAGGGGUGUUAAUACCUUCCCCUUG
rnacentral:lncRNA from 1 species